rnacentral:rRNA from 1 species
UACACACCGCCCGUCACAUCACGAAAGUGGGUUGUACUAGAAGUCGGUGGGCUAACCGCAAGGAAGCAGCCGCCCAAGGUAUAACUCAUGAUUGGGUG